UGUUUGUCUUGCUACGUUUAACUUAUUUUUCUUUGAUUUUUUUCCUGCUUGUCCCAUUGUUUGUUUACCUCGCUCCCAAUUUUCCUCACCGGCAAUUGCUAAUUAAAAUCCAUAAAGUUAUCUAACCGAUCUAUUACGUUAGAUAUCUUAAUUUGGGUUUAACUUUCUUGCUGAAUAAUCUUCAACGCUACGCUAUUUUUCAGUGCUUAACAAAGUGAAAUUUUUUAUUCCU